CUCAGGAUUUGCUUAGAGAAGGGGGCAACUCCAUCUCAGAGCGAAGAAUCUGGUCAAACUUGGUCAUUUAGAGGAACUAAAAGUCGUAACAAGGUUUCCGUAGGUGAACCUGCGGAAGGAUCAUUAAAGAUUUUUGAUUGGAGCAGCCGGGGGAGUGCCAGCCAGCCUGCGCUUAAUUGCGCGGCCGACGGUGCUUUCUGUUAACGGUUGUCUCUUUCUACACACACACUGUGGAGUUUUUUCUACUUUGCUACUUUUUCUUUGGGCGCAAGCCCAGAGGAUACAAAACACAAACAAUUUUUCAUGUUUAUUUUAGUCAAGAAAUUUUCAUUUUAAGAAAAUAAAAUAUUCAAAACUUUCAACAACGGAUCUCUUGGUUCUCGCAUCGAUGAAGAACGCAGCGAAAUGCGAUACGUAUUGUGAAUUGCAGAUUUUCGUGAAUCAUCGAAUCUUUGAACGCACAUUGCGCCCUUUGGUAUUCCAAAGGGCAUGCCUGUUUGAGCGUCAUUUCCUUCUCAAACCUUUGGGUUUGGUCGUGAGUGAUACUCUUUCCAGGGUUAACUUGAAAAUGCUGGCCAUCUGGCUGCUGCUGGCUGAGGCUCUAGUCCAGUCUGCUGAUACUCGACGUAUUAGGUUUUACCAACUCGUUGUGGCAUCGGUCGGGCGUUAUUACGACUCUAGCACGAAAGUACAGACAGCCUGGCGAAUAGUAUUCAUAAAGUUGACCUCAAAUCAGGUAGAAACGUCGUUGUGGCAUCGGUCGGGCGUUAUUACGACUCUAGCACGAAAGUACAGACAGCCUGGCGAAUAGUAUUCAUAAAGUUUGACCUCAAAUCAGGUAGGAUUACCCGCUGAACUUAAGCAUAUCAAUAAGCGGAGGAAAAGAAACCAACCGGGAUUGCCUUAGUAACGGCGAGUGAAGCGGCAAAAGCUCAAAUUUGAAAUCUGGCACCUUUGGUGUCCGAGUUGUAAUUUGAAGAAGUAACUUUGGGGCUGAUCCUUGUCUAUGUUCCUUGGAACAGGACGUCAUAGAGGGUGAGAAUCCCGUGUGGCGAGGAAUUCAGUCCUAUGUAAAGUGCUUUCGACGAGUCGAGUUGUUUGGGAAUGCAGCUCUAAGUGGGUGGUAAAUUCCAUCUAAAGCUAAAUAUUGGCGAGAGACCGAUAGCGAACAAGUACAGUGAUGGAAAGAUGAAAAGAACUUUGAAAAGAGAGUGAAAAAGUACGUGAAAUUGUUGAAAGGGAAGGGCAUUUGAUCAGACAUGGUGUUUUGCGACCCUAGCUCCUUGUGGGUUGGGAUCUCGCAGCUCACUGGGCCAACAUCAGUUUUGGCGGUGGGAUAAAUCCUUAGGAAUGUGGCUUGUCUUCGGAGAAGUGUUAUAGCCUAGGGGAAUACCGCCAGCCGGGACUGAGGACUGCGACUUUUGUCAAGGAUGUUGGCAUAAUGGUUAAAUGCCGCCCGUCUUGAAACACGGACCAAGGAGUCUAACGUCUAUGCGAGUGUUUGGGUGUAAAACCCGUACGCGUAAUGAAAGUGAACGUAGGUGAGGGCCUCUUUAGAGGUGCAUCAUCGACCG
rnacentral:rRNA from 1 species